UCGGGAAUUUUGGGCAAUGGGCGAAAGCCUGACCCAGCAACGCCGCGUGAGGGAUGAAGUAUUUCGGUAUGUAAACCUCGAAAGAAUGGGAAGAAUAAAUGACGGUACCAUUUAUAAGCUCCGGCUAACUACGUGCCAGCAGCCGCGGUAAUACGUAGGGAGCAAGCGUUGUUCGGAUUUACUGGGCGUAAAGGGCGCGUAGGCGGCGCGGUAAGUCACUUGUGAAAUCUCUGAGCUUAACUCAGAACGGCCAAGUGAUACUGCUGUGCUAGAGUGCGGAAGAGGCAACCGGAAUUCUUGGUGUAACGGUGAAAUGCGUAGAUAUCAAGAGGAACACCUGAGGCGAAGGCGGGUUGCUGGGCCGACACUGACGCUGAUGCGCGAAAGCCAGGGGAGCAAACG
rnacentral:rRNA from 1 species